rnacentral:rRNA from 1 species
GACGAACGCUGGCGGCGUGCUUAACACAUGCAAGUCGAACGGAAAGGCCCUUCGGGGUACUCGAGUGGCGAACGGGUGAGUAACACGUGGGUGAUCUGCCCUGCACUUUGGGAUAAGCCUGGGAAACUGGGUCUAAUACCGAAUAUGAUCAUCGGCUUCAUGGUCGGUGGUGGAAAGCUUUUGCGGUGUGGGAUGGGCCCGCGGCCUAUCAGCUUGUUGGUGGGGUAAUGGCCUACCAAGGCGACGACGGGUAGCCGGCCUGAGAGGGUGACCGGCCACACUGGGACUGAGAUACGGCCCAGACUCCUACGGGAGGCAGCAGUGGGGAAUAUUGCACAAUGGGCGCAAGCCUGAUGCAGCGACGCCGCGUGAGGGAUGACGGCCUUCGGGUUGUAAACCUCUUUCAGCACAGACGAAGCGCAAGUGACGGUAUGUGCAGAAGAAGGACCGGCCAACUACGUG